rnacentral:lncRNA from 1 species
UGGGUACCUAAAGGUACCCAUAAGCUGACCUUAUUAUAGGAAAAAGUGAGCUUAGUAAAAUACAAGGUUGCUGUAUCGUUGAAACUCUGCUUUAUCUGGCUUGAACUUGCUCAGUAAUGCUUUGCCAAAGUCGGAAUAGUCGGGUUAAUGAGGACGGGACGUUGAAAUGAGGACUGGAAAGCAAUUUUUAGUAAUUGUUUGACAUCAUGCGUCCAAUAUUUUAUGUAGAUUUUUGGCGAGGAAUUAUAAAAAUCCUUUGAAUGCUGCAAUCUGGCAAUGUGAAAGGAGGAACUACUGAGGCCUCCGAAACAAAGAGUACUCUACUCGUGAUAAGAGAACGCGUAGCGAAUUUUUAUGUUGAGCGAGUCCUCUUGAGUCAGCUGAUCACUGUUGUGUUUGGGUUUUCGUUCGCGAUCCGUCUCAGUAUUCGUCAAUAUGGGAAAGAGCUUUUUUGUCGCAAAUUAAAGUUAAAUAACGAGGUGUUUUUCGGGUCUCAUAUUGCCACUCGUCAGAUCUGAUUAUUUCAAAUAACUAUUUGCAGUUCGCGAUAGCUUCCAGUUAUUGUUAUUCAUCUGUGAUACACUUUCGUCCGAGCCUUUUGUUGUCAAUUUAUCAGCUCCAAGAACCUGUACAAGCGCCAAGGUCGCUACGGAGUUCGUACGCAAUACAAAGCAGUUUUCGAUUAUUUUGAAUUUUAUAAACUUUAGAUGCUCAAGUGCUAACACUAAAUUUAAAACAGACCAAUGAACGUGACAAAUUACAGGACUGAUGCCAAUAAUGUCGUUAAUUUCGUUAAUUUUAAUCAGGAUUGCACGUCAUUAGCUGUGGGCACAAAAACAGGGUACAAACUUUUCUCUCUCAACUCUGUGGACACCCUAGAACAAAUUUAUGAAAUGGUAAGUAUCUUCAAAGUUGAGACCUACCUACUUUUUGUGUGUUUCGUCCCGAUAAUUUUUUUCAGAUUUCAGUUAACCAUGAUAAUUUUGGAACUUUCUCAGUCCAUCAUUUGGGUCUUCGCUAAAUGCAACAGCAAAGCAUAUAUUUGUCAAAAGUAA